rnacentral:rRNA from 1 species
AUUGAACGCUGGCGGCAGGCCUAACACAUGCAAGUCGAGCGGUUGAAGGGAGCUUGCUCCCUGAUUCAGCGGCGGACGGGUGAGUAAUGCCUAGGAAUCUGCCUAUUAGUGGGGGACAACGUUUCGAAAGGAACGCUAAUACCGCAUACGUCCUACGGGAGAAAGCAGGGGACCUUCGGGCCUUGCGCUAAUAGAUGAGCCUAGGUCGGAUUAGCUUGUUGGUGAGGUAAUGGCUCACCAAGGCGACGAUCCGUAACUGGUCUGAGAGGAUGAUCAGUCACACUGGAACUGAGACACGGUCCAGACUCCUACGGGAGGCAGCAGUGGGGAAUAUUGGACAAUGGGCGAAAGCCUGAUCCAGCCAUGCCGCGUGUGUGAAGAAAGUCUUCGGAUUGUAAAGCACUUUAAGUUGGGAGGAAGGGUUGUAGAUUAAUACUCUGCAAUUUUGACGUUACCGACAGAAUAAGCACCGGCUAACUCUGUGCCAGCCGCCGCAGUAACAC